rnacentral:rRNA from 1 species
GACGAACGCUGGCGGCGUGCUUAACACAUGCAAGUCGAGCGGAAAGGCCUCUUCGGGGGUACUCGAGCGGCGAACGGGUGAGUAACACGUGAGUAAUCUGCCCUUCACUCUGGGAUAGCCACCGGAAACGGUGAUUAAUACCGGAUACGACACGUCCAGGCAUCUGGUGCGUGGGGAAACUUUUUGGGUGGGGGAUGUGCUCGCGGCCUAGCAGGUUGUUGGUGGGGUAAUGGCCUACCCAGGCUUCGACGGGUAGCCGGCCUGAGAGGGUGACCGGCCACACUGGGACUGAGACACGGCCCAGACUCCUACGGGAGGCAGCAGUGGGGAAUAUUGGACAAUGGGCGGAAGCCUGAUCCAGCAACGCCGCGUGAGGGAUGACGGCCUUCGGGUUGUAAACCUCUUUCAGCACCGACGAAGCGAUCCUUUGGGGAGUGACGGUAGGUGCAGAAGAAGGACCGGCCAACUACGUGCCAGCCGCCGCAGUAAAAC